rnacentral:rRNA from 1 species
UACGGAGGGUGCGAGCGUUGUUCGGAAUCACUGGGCGUAAAGAGCGCGUAGGCGGCCCUGUAAGUCCGCUGUGAAAGUCAAGGGCUCAACCCUUGGAUGCCGGUGGAUACUGCAGGGCUAGAGUCCGGAAGAGGCGAGUGGAAUUCCUGGUGUAGCGGUGAAAUGCGCAGAUAUCAGGGGGAACACCGAUGGCGAAGGCAGCUCGCUGGGACGGUACUGACGCUGAGGCGCGAAAGCGUGGGGAGCAAACAGG